ensembl:lncRNA
GGGUUUGUCUCAUGCCUCACUCUGCCAGGGAAGGUUUGUCUCAUGCCUCACUCUGCCAGGGAAGGGUUUGUGUCUUUUUCUCUUGCAUUUUGUGAAAUCUAAUGAUGCACUUAUGUUGCCCACUUUUCCCUUUUCUUCAUACCUUACCUACUAAAGGAGGGAAUGCCACUUUAUUGAAGCUGAGAAUGCUGACUGCUGUUUCUCCGGGAGCCCAGUCGACCAUGAUACUGCCACAACUGAGAGGAGGAGAGAACAAGGCCCACACUGCCCUCUACAGGGCCCCAGGAAGUACUGCUGCCCAGGCUGGAGAGGCCCUACAUGGGGAGGACAGGCAGACUACGGACCUGGGGUCGUCAGGGAGAUGGGGAGGUCACAGAGGUCACAGAGUCCAGGGGAAGCGCUCCCAUUCGCCGACUCACAGCAGUGACUCCGCCCACUCUCAACAUAACCUGCAUCCUCACAGAGAAAAGAGCUCUCACCAGAAGAAGACUAAAAGAUCCCACUCUUCCAAGCGUCACCGCCGUGGGGGUCGGGGACAGGCCCAUCACCAGAGGCUGUCUGCAUCCCCAGGGCGGCACCACCAUGCGUCUGGGUCAGGCACCAAGAAGAGUGAGUCUCGGGGGCGGGGCGGUGUCGGUGUCCGCCAGCGCAGCAGCUCCUGGAGCUCAGGACGGUCCUCAUCAUGCUCUGCCUCCAGAGAGAGAGCCCCCAGCAAGGCCAAGUCCCUCCACAUCCAUGCCAGACAGAACAAUUCCAGUUUUUCCGCUAAGGACAGAGAUAGUCCUCACCACUCUGACGCUGACCGUGCUCACCGUCGUUCCAGGAGCUACUCUCCCAUCAGGAAGAGGAGACGAGACUCUCCCAGCUUCAUGGAGGCUCGCAGGAUCACCAGCGCUCGGAAGCGGCCUAUCCCGUACUACCGCCCCAGCCCUUCCUCCUCCAGUUCCAUGUCAAGCCCCUCCCAUUCAGGGAGGAGUCGCAGCCGCAGCUACAGCUGCAGUCACAGCCACACCAGGAGCCACAGCCGCUCACGCAGCCCCAGGAGCCACAGCCGCUCACGCAGCCCCAGGAGCCACAGCAACUACAGUCGCAGCAGCUAUGAAAGCCCCGGCUUCUGAUGAGAGAGAGACAGAGAGAGGGGGAGUUGGGGGGGGAGAGAGAGAGAGAUAGAUGGGGGAGAACAGCAGGAGAGAUUGAGGGAGAGAGAGGGGGAGGGAGAUAAAUCAUGUUAUGCGUCCCUGAUUGGUCCAAACACAGGGUCAGACCUUCUCUGUUUUUUCUACCAUCCUCAGUCUCCAUCUCUGAAUACCAGCGUUAACCAGAGCCUGGAUCUGAAAUAUCCAUUUGUCUUCACACAGGCACAAUUUAAAAUAACAUUUUUCAGAUCAUGCUUUUAGAAAAUAAUUGAUAAAGAACUAUUCUGUAAGCACUUUCUCUAUAUGUUUCUGCAUAGCAAAAGUAAACCCCCC